ACGGAAGGCAGCAGUGGGGAAUAUUGCACAAUGGGGGAAACCCUGAUGCAGCGACGCCGCGUGAGCGAAGAAGUAUUUCGGUAUGUAAAGCUCUAUCAGCAGGGAAGAAAAUGACGGUACCUGACUAAGAAGCUCCGGCUAAAUACGUGCCAGCAGCCGCGGUAAUACGUAUGGAGCAAGCGUUAUCCGGAUUUACUGGGUGUAAAGGGAGCGUAGGCGGCCGCGCAAGUCAGGUGUGAAAACCCGGGGCUUAACUCCGGGACUGCACUUGAAACUGUGAGGCUGGAGUACGGGAGAGGCAAGUGGAAUUCCUAGUGUAGCGGUGAAAUGCGUAGAUAUUAGGAAGAACACCAGUGGCGAAGGCGACUUGCUGGACCGCAACUGACGCUGAGGCUCGAAAGCGUGGGGAGCAAACAGGAUUAGAUACCCUGGUA
rnacentral:rRNA from 1 species